AAAUCAGUACGCUGGUCGUGCCUCUGGUAUGCACUGGUGUUACUGAUUUCUCCCUUCUGAAGAACUAUCAUGCCAUUAAUUUGGUGUGGUAGGGAAUCAGGACUGUUACUUUGAAAAAAUUAGAGUGUUUAAAGCAGGCGCUUGCUUGAAUACAUUAGCAUGGAAUAAUGGAAUAGGACCUCGGUUCUAUUUUGUUGGUUUCUAGGGCCGAAGUA
rnacentral:rRNA from 1 species